rnacentral:rRNA from 1 species
CCUACGGGAGGCAGCAGUUAGGAAUCUUGCGCAAUGGGCGAAAGCCUGACGCAGCGACGCCGCGUGCGGGAUGACGGCCUUCGGGUUGUAAACCGCUUUCAGCAGGGACGAUUAUGACGGUACCUGCAGAAGAAGCCCCGGCCAACUACGUGCCAGCAGCCGCGGUAAUACGUAGGGGGCAAGCGUUGUCCGGAUUUAUUGGGCGUAAAGAGCUCGUAGGCGGUUUGGUAAGUCGGGUGUGAAAUCUCCACGCUCAACGUGGAGGGGCCACUCGAUACUGCCAUGACUCGAGUCCGGUAGAGGAGUGUGGAAUUCCCGGUGUAGCGGUGAAAUGCGCAGAUAUCGGGAGGAACACCCGUAGCGAAGGCGGCACUCUGGGCCGGAACUGACGCUGAGGAGCGAAAGCGUGGGGAGCAAACAGGAUUAGAUACCCUGGUAGUCCACGCCGUAAACGUUGGGCACUAGGUGUGGGGAUCUAUCGACGGUUUCCGUGCCGAAGCUAACGCAUUAAGUGCCCCGCCUGGGGNGGUACGGCCGCGAGACGUAACUACAAUAGAUAGACGGCGUGAGACGCGACGACGACGACGACGGAGGAGG